ensembl:lncRNA
UUUGUUAGGUUUGUUAAUGCCAUGGUGGUUAAGUAAAUUAUAAAAAAUUUCAAAGAAGUGGGCAAUGCAUUCUGAAGCAUUUAGGUGAAAUGUCAUAAUGUCUGAAUGUGCUUUAAAAAUACUUUAGAGGCCAAGGGCAGUGACUCAUGCCUGUAAUCCCAGCGUUUUGGGAGGCUGAGGCGGGAGGAUCACUUGAGGCCAGCAGUUUGAGACCGGCCUGGCCAAUAUGGUGAAACCCCAUCUCUACUAAAAAUACAAAAAUUAUCCAGGCAUGAUGGUGGGUGCCUGUAAUCCCAGCUACUUGGGAGAUUGAGGCAGGAGAGUCACUUGAGCCUGGGAGGCGGAGGUUGCAGUGAACCAAGAUCAGGCCAUUACAUUUCAGCCUGGGUGACAGAGCCAGACUCUGUCUCAAAACGAAACAAAACAAAACAAAAAACUUUAGAAAAUAAAAGGGGGGGAAGGAGGAGGGGUAUAUUAGUCAGGGUCCUGUCAGGAAACAGAAACCACAUCAUUUAUUUUAACAGAGAAUUUAAUAGAAAGGAUUAUUAACAAGAUUACUGAAAGGCAAAAAAAGAAAACUAAGAUAUUAUGGAAGUAGCAGCUGUAGGAAGCCCUAGGAUUCGGGACAAAGCAAAGAGGUUGUAAUCAUUAAAAUGUAGCGGCUUGACGGAGAGGACCCCACCCAGCUAAAACACAGACCCGUGAGAAGAACCCUGUGCCUCUGAGCUCAGAGGUGGGAGCCCAAAGGCUGGGACUCCCAGAAUGCUCCAGUUCCCUGCAGCUGGUGUCUUCAAGGAGGGAAAUGAAGUUGGUUAUUUGUUUCCAACUUUUACUGCUAGAAACAAUACUGCAGGACAAAUGGACUUCCAGCUUCUGGUGGCCACAGACUGAGUCCCUCCCAGAGGAUGCCCAUUCUCCCCUUCUCCUAGAAACAAUGGCAAACCCUGGAUGUAUUCACAAUAAUAUGAAAACAACCACCUGACAUGACUGGAGCGUGAACAGAAGCACAUUGACUCUUGCAGAGAGUCAAUGCUUGAAGAAGAGGAGCAGAAGAAGUUCUGCAUUUCGGCAACUCUUGGUCAGAUUCAUGAGGUCUAUUAGGCAUUUGGCAGCCCAGUAGCAAGAGCACUGAUGGAAAACCUUCAGCCUUUCUGGUCAGCAGAAUCAGAAAAGUAAAGCUGAAAAACUGCUACUGAAGCAAGUAGAAGAAUCCUGGAAGGAAAGAGAAAGGAGAUAGAAAAAAGGAUCCCUAAACUGUGUCUGCCCAUGUCUUAGGCUGACCUCUGAACCGUGCAUGCCUGGGACAGAAUGAAGCAAAUGAUUUGAAUCAAGACCAGAGCUGCUGCUCACAGAAACAGAGUUUGCACUUCAAGCCCAGCCAAGAAAAUUUCCUGAGAAAGCAAAGGGAACAACACGUGUUAGAGAAAAAUAGCAGAAAUCAGACUCUUCACAAUCUCACAUUCAUAAUAUACAGGAUACAAUCCAAAGUAAUUUGACAUAUGAAGUAUCAAGAAAAUGGAGCCAACUCUCAGGGGAAAAGAAAGCCAACCACAUCUGACCCUGAGAUGAACCAGAUGUUGAAACCAACAGACAACCAUGCUAAAGCCGUUCUUUUAACCAUCCUUAAUGCAAUAAAGCAAAAUACGCUUUUGAUGAAUAAAAUAUAGGAAAAUUCAGCAAAUAUAUUUAAACAAAAAAAGAACCAAAAGGAAAUUCUAGAACUAAAAAAAUAUAAUAUCUGAAAUUUUAAAAUUAUUGGAUAUAUUUAGUAACCAAAUGGAGAUGUCCAAAAACAAAACAAAGAGUAAAUGAACUUGGAAAUAAGUCAAUAAAAUUAUCUAAGGAAAUGAAGAGGAAAGAAAAAAGAUUUUAAAAAAUGAACAAGGGACCUCUUAAAUAGCACAAAUGGUUCAACAGACAGUCAGCCACAGGAGAAAGAGGUAGAAGAAAAUUUAAAGUAAUAAUGGAGGAAAGUUUUCCGAAUUUGUUGAAAGACAGAAAUUUACAGGUUCAAGAUGCUUUGUCAACACCAAUUAGAAGAAACAUGAAGAUUCUCACAUUGAAACACAUCAUAGUUAAGUUACUGAGCCAAAGAUAAACAAGAAACCUUGAAAGCAGUAAAAGAAAAAUGAAUCAUUACAUACAGAAGAACAGAAUUUGAUUAAGAA